rnacentral:lncRNA from 1 species
CAGCUGCUUCUAAAAGGUUCCAGAGGAAAAGCCCCAAACUUCUGGUUCAAGAAUGUUCAUGUACUCAGAUGAGGUGGUGCACACCUGGAAUCCCAGCUACUUGGAGGUUGAAGCAAGAGGAUUGCAAGUUCAAGAUCAGUCUGGGCAACUCAGCAAGUCCCUACACAACUUAGCAAGACACUGUCUCAAAACAAAAAAGUGUAGCUCAGUGGUAGAGCAUGCUGGGGUUCAACCCCCAUUACCAAAAAAAAAAAAAAGAAUGUCCAUGUAGUAUUUCCUUCUGAAAGAUGGUAGGAUUGUGGACCCAAAGACAACUUUUAUCUGAUUUCUGAGAAUCACCAUUCUGAGUGUCCUUAUUAUAUUACUGAACACAAAGAGAGAAAGCCGGGGCUUUGGGGACCAUGAGUGGCAUAUUGAGAACACAGACAUACACUUUCCUCCUGGCUCCAUUAUUUUUAAAUUAUAAAGCAUAUGCCACAGUAGGCCAUGGCUCCUUCCCUUCAACUCUAGCCUUGGGAAAUUUAGAAGGUGUCUCUGCAUUCCUUCUAAUACCUUCUCACUUACUCAUUAAUUGGAACUGGGGAUUGAACCCAGGGGCACUUUACCACUGAGCUACAUCCCUAG